rnacentral:rRNA from 1 species
GACGAACGCUGGCGGCGUGCUUAACACAUGCAAGUCGAGCGAUGAAGUUCCUUCGGGAAUGGAUUAGCGGCGGACGGGUGAGUAACACGUGUGUAACCUGCCUCAUAGAGGGGCAUAGCCUUUCGAAAGGAAGAUUAAUACCGCAUAAGAACGUAGUUUCGCAUGAAACAGCAAGUAACGGAGUAAUCCGCUAUGAGAUGGACCCGCGUCGCAUUAGCUAGUUGGUGAGGUAACGGCUCACCAAGGCGACGAUGCGUAGCCGACCUGAGAGGGUGAUCGGCCACAUUGGGACUGAGACACGGCCCAGACUCCUACGGGAGGCAGCAGUGGGGAAUAUUGCACAAUGGGGGAAACCCUGAUGCAGCAACGCCGCGUGAGUGAUGACGGUCUUCGGAUUGUAAAACUCUGUCUUCAGGGACGAUAAUGACGGUACCUGAGGAGGAAGCCACGGCUAACUACGUGCCAGCAGCCGCGGUAA